rnacentral:rRNA from 1 species
UCAUGGCUCAGAUGAAACGCUGGCGGCAUGCCUUACACAUGCAAGUCGAACGGCAGCACGGGAGCAAUCCUGGUGGCGAGUGGCGAACGGGUGAGUAAUAUAUCGGAACGUGCCCAGUCGUGGGGGAUAACGCAGCGAAAGCUGUGCUAAUACCGCAUACGAUCUACGGAUGAAAGCGGGGGAUCGCAAGACCUCGCGCGAUUGGAGCGGCCGAUAUCAGAUUAGCUAGUUGGUGGGGUAAAAGCCCACCAAGGCGACGAUCUGUAGCUGGUCUGAGAGGACGACCAGCCACACUGGAACUGAGACACGGUCCAGACUCCUACGGGAGGCAGCAGUGGGGAAUUUUGGACAAUGGGCGCAAGCCUGAUCCAGCAAUGCCGCGUGCAGGAUGAAGGCCUUCGGGUUGUAAACUGCUUUUGUACGGAACGAAACGGUCCUUUCUAAUACAAGGGGCUAAUGACGGUACCGUAAGAAUAAGCACCGGCUAACUACGUGCCAGCAGCCGCGGUAAUACGUAGGGUGCGAGCGUUAAUCGGAAUUACUGGGCGUAAAGCGUGCGCAGGCGGUUAUAUAAGACAGAUGUGAAAUCCCCGGGCUCAACCUGGGACCUGCAUUUGUGACUGUAUAGCUAGAGUACGGUAGAGGGGGAUGGAAUUCCGCGUGUAGCAGUGAAAUGCGUAGAUAUGCGGAGGAACACCGAUGGCGAAGGCAAUCCCCUGGACCUGUACUGACGCUCAUGCACGAAAGCGUGGGGAGCAAACAGGAUUAGAUACCCUGGUAGUCCACGCCCUAAACGAUGUCAACUGGUUGUUGGGUCUUCACUGACUCAGUAACGAAGCUAACGCGUGAAGUUGACCGCCUGGGGAGUACGGCCGCAAGGGUGAAACUCAAAG